rnacentral:tRNA from 1 species
UAACUAUUAAUUUAAAUAAAAAUAUUAAUUUUGUAAAUUAAAAAUAAAAAUUAUAAUUUUAUAGUUAA